rnacentral:rRNA from 1 species
AUUGAACGCUGGCGGCAUGCCUUACACAUGCAAGUCGAGCGCGAAAGGGGGCAACCCCGAGUAGAGCGGCGGACGGGUGAGUAACACAUCGGAACGUGCCCAGUAGUGGGGGACAACCUCGAGAAAAUCGAGGCUAAUACCGCAUACGACCCACGGGUGAAAGCGGGGACCGCAAGGCCUCGCGCUAGCGGAGCGGCCGAUGUCAGAUUAGGGUUGUUGGGUGGGGUAAAAGGCCUACCAAGCCGACGAUCUGUAGCUGGUCUGAGAGGACGACCAGCCACAC